CGCUCCGGACACCAGCGUCACGGCUGGAUGUGCGACCGCAUGGCGCACACACCACCUGUUGGUUCUGGACACUUCUGAUUUCCUGCUUCCUUUGCACUUUCUUCUCGUCCUCUUUUGAUUUUGAUGGGGAUGUUGUGGGAGUUUAGGUUCUGAAAUACUGAUGAUCGUGGAAUCAUUGAAUCACAGAUUCAUCAAGGUUGGAAGAGAACUUUGAGAUCAACAAGAGCAACCAUCAAUCCAGCACUCUCACCCCUAGACCACAGGGAAAAUUUUUUUCUGGCACGUAAUCUGAAUGUCACCUGCCUCAGCUUGAGGCCAUUGUCCUCUACCUUCUCACUGCAGGCACAGUAGAAGAGACUGAUCCCCACCUCACCACAGCCUCCUGUCAGUGCCAGAGGAAAUAAUGAAUCACCAAUCAAGAAGACAACUUAAGACUUAUCAGCUUCCUCCUGGGGAAAGCAUGACCUUGACUGCAGCAUGUCACUUCCAAGCACCAGACAUCUGAGCCACUUGAAGCCAACCUUAUUUCCAGUUACAGGGGAACUCCACAAGCUGUUUCACCUAAUAUUCACAGGAUAGUCACUAAGCAGAUUCAUUAAUGCAAUGGCUGUGCUAGAGGAUGCAGUGUCCACCAAA